rnacentral:rRNA from 1 species
CCUACGGGGGGCUGCAGUAAGGAAUAUUGGUCAAUGGACGCAAGUCUGAACCAGCCAUGCCGCGUGGAGGAUGAAGGUCCUCUGGAUUGUAAACUUCUUUUAUUUGGGAAGAAACUCCCGAUUUCCAUCGGGAUUGACGGUACCAGAUGACUAAGCACCGGCUAACUCCGUGCCAGCAGCCGCGGUAAUACGGCGGGUGCAAGCGUUACCGGGAUUCACUGGGUUGUAAGGGUGCAUGGAUGUCCGGGGUGAAAUCUCCGGGCUUAACCCUGAAACUGCCAUUGAUACUAUUUGUCUUGAAUACUCUGGAGGUGAGCGGAAUAUGUCAUGUAGCGGUGAAAUGCUUAGAUAUGACAUAGAACACCCAUUGCGAAGGCAGCUCACUACGGAAAUAUUGACGCUGAGGCACGAAAGCGUGGGGAUCAAACAGGAUUAGAUACCCCUGUAGUC